CCUACGGGAGGCAGCAGUGAGGAAUAUUGGUCAAUGGGCGGAAGCCUGAACCAGCCAUGUCGCGUGCGGGAUGACGGCUCUAUGGAUUGUAAACUUCUUUUGUAAGAGAGUAAAGUGCGGUACGUGUACCCUUCUGUAUGUACUUUAUGAAUAAGGAUCGGCUAACUCCGUGCCAGCAGCCGCGGUAAUACGGAGGAUCCAAGCGUUAUCCGGAUUUAUUGGGUUUAAAGGGUGCGUAGGCGGAUUGUUAAGUCAGCGGUGAAAUGUUCGGGCUGAACUCGGGAAUUGCCGCUGAUACUGGGGAGCUGGAGAGUAGAUGCGGGAGGCGGAAUGUAUGGUGGAGCGGUGAAAUGCUUAGAGAUCAUACAGAACACCGAUUGCGAAGGCAGCUUACCAAGCUAUAUCUGACGUUGAGGUACGAAAGCGUGGGGAGCAAACAGGAUUAGAUACCCGAGUAGUC
rnacentral:rRNA from 1 species